rnacentral:miRNA from 1 species
GCCAUCAGACACAUUCCAGCCAAUCAGCAGCAGACCCUCCCUCCCAGACCCUCCCACCUCCUGGACAUCAUCCAUUUUGAAGCUGCAUUCUUAGUGAGCUGUCCAGGAGGUGGGAGGGUCUGGGAGGGAGGGUUUUCUGCUGAUUGGCUGGAAUGUGUCUGCUG